UAUAAAUAUACUACAUGCUUGUUUGAAGAGGUGAUACAUGGGUAAAAGAAAAAAAAAGGCACAUUAUUCGCUAGAGAGGUAGGACUUUCAUUUAACCAGAUCUUAGUACUCUUGCAAAAAAUCUGGUUUGAUUAAGGUGAUCUAUUUUUUAAUUUUAUUUUUUUUUUUUAAAUUCCUUUUUUUUUGUUGGUGGGACAAUCUUUAAUUUUCUAAAGAUAGCACAAACAUCAGCUUUUCAGCCACCCGCCUGCCGCCCUGGAUGUUCCUCGCUGCCUUCUCGCGUGUUUCCACCGAGCCCUGACCCAAACCCAGCCCCAUCCAGGAUGUCCACGGGCCACCCCGGGGAGGAUGCUCAACCUCCCUGAGAUCCAUCAGCACCCAAGGGCUGAGCCCCGAUGCCGGGUGGGACCCGAGGAAUGGACUUAACGGGCAAAGGACCAUCAUCUCCACACCACCCGUGGGUGGAAGAAGCCCCACACUGAUCCCCCCACCCCCCCAAGCUCACCAGCAGCUUCUCUGCACUUUGGACCUGGCUUUCCCACCCCCCCCUCAAAAUCCUGGCUGCCCACCCUGCCCCGCAGCCCCCCGGGGUUGGGGGGGAGCCGUGGUGUUUCUGGCUGGGCUCAGCCCCUGGUCGGACGAAGGGGUUGGAGAUGGUGGGACCGUGGCUCAAGAGCUGAUGCUGUCCCCAUCAGUGACGACGUGCAUGAUCUGGUUUAAGUUGAUACAUAUGUGCGUGUGUAUACAUGUAUGUACUGUAGAUAUAUACACUGUAUAAAUAUCCUCACUCACAUAUACAUAUAUUAUAACCGUAGCAAUUACAGACUUUUUGUGGGUUGUUUUUUUUUUGUUUGUUUUAAGUCAAUUCUUUUUUCCUAUUUUUUUUUUCUUGCUUUGUUUUUUUUUUUUUUUUUUUUUUUUGCUUCAUGUAAGCGAGUACAUUGUAUCUGAAGCCCUUUCCGAAUUGGCAGAUGCCAAAUCUGGAUCUUUAUUCCUCGAGACAAAGGAAAUGCAUCUAUUUUAAGAUGCCUUUUUGUUUUUUGUUUUCUUCUUUUUUUUUUUUGGUUUUUGUUUUGUUUUGUUUUUCUUUUGAGCAGCAGGUGGUUUUGAGUAAAAAUAGCUUUAGCAGUUCCCAAUACUUAGUGAUGGAUGCCUUGGCUAUGGGACGCAUAGCUAAAAAAUAAAAUACGUUAAAAUUUAGAAUGACAAAAAAAAAAAAA